GUCUGGGUAGUUAAGAUAGAAUAAUAAUUUGUGGUGUUAUAGGCGAAUUUAUUUCCUCAGAUC
rnacentral:tRNA from 1 species